rnacentral:rRNA from 1 species
UACGUAGGGGGCAAGCGUUGUCCGGAUUUAUUGGGCGUAAGAGCGUGUAGGCGGCUUUACAGGUCCGUUGUGAAAACUCGAGGCUCAACCUCGAGACGCCGGUGGAAACCGUAAAGCUAGAGUCCGGAAGAGGAGAGUGGAAUUCCUGGUGUAGCGGUGAAAUGCGCAGAUAUCAGGAAGAACACCCGUGGCGAAGGCGGCUCUCUGGGACGGUACUGACGCUGAGACGCGAAAGCGUGGGGGAGCGAACAGG